rnacentral:rRNA from 1 species
UACGUAGGGUGCAAGCGUUAUCCGGAAUUAUUGGGCGUAAAGAGCUCGUAGGCGGUUUGUCGCGUCUGCUGUGAAAACCCGAGGCUCAACCUCGGGCCUGCAGUGGGUACGGGCAGACUAGAGUGUGGUAGGGGGAGACUGGAAUUCCUGGGUGUAGCGGUGAAAUGCGCAGAUAUCAGGAGGAACACCGAUGGCGAAGGCAGGUCUCUGGGCCACUACUGAC